GAAGAAGAAGAAGAAGAAGAAGAGUGAGAAGGCUAAGAAGACUAAUGCCGAGCUCUUCCAAAAGAGUAUCUCUUGCUUAAAUUUUCUAUCUUUCAAUCCUUUUUGUUUCCCUUUUGUGUGGAUAUGGUUCUGUGUUCUUUUUAUUCAAAUUACAUUGAAACGGUUAAUGGAGCUUCCUUGCAAUUCUUAAUUGAGGGAGAUUUUCCUUUUGUUAAAAAAAUUUUGUUUUCUUGCGUUAGCACUUAGCAAGUUUGUUGUCGUUUGCUUAAAACGCUAAUAGGGAUUUUCCCCCCUCUAUUGUGCUUCAUGUUAUUGUUGAGGCUAGUAGAAGAGAGAGCUUGCUUACGAAAUCUGCUCAUUCUUUUUUGUUGCAAUUAACUGAGCUCUGAAAUUUUCUCAUUGGAAAAACACAUAUACAUGUGGUGCUUCAUUGUAGAUUUUUGUUCGAGUAACGUCCAUAAAAUCUCCCAUGUUUUGGAAUAUAAGUAGGCCAACAAACAUAAGUUAAGGGAGCUGCUAUGAAUGGAUACAAUUUAACAAAUUGACACUGCUUGCGGAAAGGAUUUUCCUUUUCACAUGAAACAAUUAACAAUUUCGUUAAAAGAUAUUUUUGGAAUUUAGAAAUCGACCUUUUGGUGUGCAUUGGAACAAUUGUCUAAUAUGUAGUAAAAGUCUUGGGCUUGCUUGAAGCUAAUAGGUGGCAACUUUACACCUAGUACCAGCUCCAUGCAAAAAUGCUUUCAUUUGGUGGAUCCAUAUCUGGUUAAUGCAUGUGUUUAGGUGCAUAAGUUAAACUUGCUAUUGUGUAGUUUAUCCUUUUAUUAAACCAUUGGUUAUGUGGUGGUACCCCAUUGUUCCCAUUGAAACUCUGAUCGUGGACAUCUAGUGAAGUACUGCUACUUGGCAAUAAAAGCCAAUGUUUUGUUCUUCAACAUGACUUGAUUAUAUUUAAAAAGUUCUUAACUAUUUCAGAAAAAAAUGCUUGCAUGAGAUAAUCUAAAUAGUGCUUGAACUCAUAUUUUUCAUGAACAAUGAAGUAGCUCUUCAAGUAUGUUUCUGAAAGAUCAAGGAACCUUUCUAGAAUAACGUUGCGAUAUCUUGGUCUAAGGUAUUAAAAUUAGUAAAUUCAAUUUUACCAAAUGAAUAAUGAAUGUUUAGUAUUACUCAUUUCUCUUCUGAGGGAUAAGUUUUAAUUGAUUUAGUUCAAAAAAAGGUGAGAUGUGAUGGAAAAAUUGUGAAAAUCGUCAUUUUAUAUAAGGGGGAUAUCCUUGGCUUUUGACCUGAUUUUAUACUUUUACCUGAUCCUUGAAUCAUGCACAGAAUUGGAGUUGUAUUUCAGACUAGUAUUGUUUAUGCUGAAGUUUAUUGACAGUUAUUAGUGCUUGGCAUUUUUUCAUUGCAGAAGUAAUGCUAAAGAAAGAAGAAAAACAGAAUGAAAAUAUCAAAACCACAGGGAAGAAGAAGAGGAGAAGAGAGAAGGAAAACAAUGUUAAUGCUGGCAUAGCUGUUCACGUGAAUUAAGACAAAGUAGAAGGAGAAAAGAACAAGAACAAACCAAGGAAAAAGAAAAGAAAAGGUGAGGAGAAAAAUAAUGCUCUGGUUGGAAAAUCUGUUCAGCAAGAUGGCUAUGAAGAACAAAAUGGUACAUUGAUAGGAUUGGGACAUGGUAUAAUAAAUAUUUUUUUCUUUUGGUACAUUGUGUCUCAAAUAUUUUGUUAUGAUAUCAUCUUGUCUGGAGACAUUUGUGUGUAUGCCUAGGCACUCUGUUUGAUAAAUAUUUGGCAAAAUGGAACUGAGUUUUGGGAUAUUUUGUUCACAAAGUCCUUAAGUCUAAAAGAAUAUCUCUCGAGUGUGCAAACUAUAGUACGUUUAUCAAUUUGGAGUGAGCUUCUGAAUUGCCAUUGUCAUUCCCUUAAAUUCUUCGGUCUUUCUCCUUUGGUUUUCCCCCCUUUGGCUUGUUUUCCAUGUUCAAAUUGUCCAACAAAAUGUUCUGCAUAAUUGUCCUGCUAUUAUCCUAUAUCAGUCAUAUUAUUCUUUACAGAUUGAUUAAGUCAAUUUUCUUUCUAUGUGGAUGAUGGGGGACCUGACCAGCGCCUAUUUAAAAUUCAAGGAGAUAUUAACGAUUUCAAAGGGCAGAGUGACACUGUUAUUGUAGAAGAGACCAGAACUCGUAAAUAAGCAAUCUUAUUUGCUUGACUUGUGCAUAAUUUCUUGAGAAAAUUUAUAUUACAAUUAUAUUAUAUAUAUGUUUUCUUACAGUCUUAUUUCUAUUAGGUAAAUCCAAGAAACCUAACAGAAAGAAAAAGGAGCAUCACACGUUAAAGAAGGGUGAGACCAUACCGGAAAAGAUAGAAGAGGCUGUUGAGGAUGGGGCUUAUUACAUUUCUUCAGGGGAGGACUGCUCAAAAGGAAUGAGAAGUAUGAAUCUUAAAAUUGGUGAUGUUCUUUCUUAGUAAUUCAGUGGCAGACUUGCAUUAAGUUUUGUUGAAAGUCAUAUAGAGCAGGAGACCAAGCCAACUUAUUUGUGCCUAUUAGUUGUUUGGGCUCAAAAUGGGCCUAUCCAUCAGCUCCAAUUGUUGGGACAUAUCUGUAUUUUAUCUGUUGAUGGCCAUAAAUAGAAUUUGUGCAUGGAUUUGUAUGGUUUUGUCCUUCUUUUUAAGGGUGUAGCAAAGGCAUCCAUUUUUGUUUUCUAUUCCUUCUUAAAAAGGAAAAGACAAGGGGGGCAGGAAAUAGCUGAAAUUGCUUCAUUCAAUUGUUUGACAUAGGUCAACCUGCAAAUUAUCUAUUUUUAUUUCUGAGCUAUGCAUUUUUUCUGUGCAUAUUUCCCUAUUGUCAAUGAAAAGGCAUGUUAUGUUGUUUAGUGAUCUUACUUCGUACUUACACUACAGAAUGGCUUACAGAAUACCGUCAAAGUAGACCAGGUUUGAAGGUCUUGCAACAAUGGAUAGAUCAGUUUAUAACUGCUCAUGAGGAAAAACUUGAACAGGAAAGAAAAGAAAGAGAAGCCCGUGCUGCAGAAGAUGGGUGGACAGUUGUUGUGCACCAUAAAGGAAGGAAGAAGACAACUGAUUCUCAAAGUGGAAUUACUGUGGGUUCUGUGGCCCCAGCUGUUGCAGAGAGCCAGCUGACCAAGAAGAAACGCAAAGAAGUUGGACCAGACUUCUAUCGGUUUCAAAAAAGAGAAGCUCAGAGGAAUGAAAUUUUGGCACUCCAAAGCAAAUUUGAGGAGGAUAGAAAACGGAUUCAGCAAUUGAGAGCUGCCAGAAAGUUUCGACCCUACUGAAUGCUGCUGAAGCUAUGUGAAGAAUGAUCCAAAGCUGAAACUUCUAUGAUGUCAACUUCAUUUUUGCAAUAUGGGAAAAAGUAUGCUAAAGUCUAGGCAUUUAUUGCUCCUCUUGCAAAUUUUUUCACUUCUUAAAUUUAUUGGAGAAAUAAAAAUUGCAUUUGUAAGUCACAAAAUCUACUAGUGAGAAUGUACAAUUUUCUGUGUGAUAAUAUUAGCUGAGAUGAUGAAUGAAUUCGCAGCUUUUGUUUAAUCCUAGUGGAAUGAUGUUUUUCUCGCAAUGCACUUGCUUUCUUUUCUUUUUGUUCAUCUCUUAUCUAUUAAUGUCAUCACAGGAAAGUCUUUGCCCAUUAUCGAAUCAGCAUCCAACAAAAUUGGCAGGCAUUCCAAGCUAAAAUUUGCCCCUUUAUACAAGCAUUGUUGCUUCCCUGACAUGAAUACUGCAGUAGGUGAGAGGUUGGUUUAGGAAGCUGGUCCAAGCCCAUGGAAUAAAAUGAAAAGUAUCUUGUGAGCUCUGAAGAGAGUCAACAUAUGCAAUUUUACCCUUAUUUCAUAGAGUGGCCGUUUCGUCCCAUGCCCAUGGAAUAUAAUUGUAAAAGUCAAUGCAAGAAAAUUUUCAAUGCAGAAUUAAACGAUUCCAAGUUGUACCAGAAGCCAUAUAAUCUGUUGAAAAUUCAUAAUAUGUAUGCGUCUAUUUGCUUGAUAAAUUGGAAGUUGAAAUGUGCGUGCUCAUGUACCUUGUUACAUGGCUGAUAGGUAGCCGUACGUAUCUGUAGCAGAUGAAUUCCAUUCAUCAAUACAGCUCUGAUGGCUUAGCUUUAACUCUUUGCUUGUGAUGG
rnacentral:misc_RNA from 1 species